UACGUAGGGGGCGAGCGUUAAUCGGAAUUACUGGGCGUAAAGCGUGCGCAGGCGGUUUUGUAAGACCGAUGUGAAACCCCCGGGCUCAACCUGGGAACUGCAUUGGUGACUGCAAGGCUAGAGUGUGUCAGAGGGAGGUGGAAUUCCACGUGUAGCAGUGAAAUGCGUAGAGAUGUGGAGGAACACCGAUGGCGAAGGCAGCCUCCUGGGAUAACACUGACGCUCAUGAACGAAAGCGUGGGGAGCAAACAGG
rnacentral:rRNA from 1 species